CCAUCUCACACCAGUUAGAUUAGAAUCAGUUAGAAUGACCAGUUAAAAACAUGUUCUCACUCAUAGGUGGGAACUGAACAAUGAGAACCCUUGGACACAGGAUGGCGAACAUCACACACUGGGGCCUGUCGUGGGGUGGGGGAAGGGGGGAGGGAUAGCAUUAGGAGAUAUACCUAAUGUAAAUGACGAGUUAACAGGUGCAGCACACCAACAGGGCACAUGUAUACAUAUGUAACAAACCUGCACGUUGUGCACAUGUACCCUAGAACUUAAAGUAUAAAAAAAAAAAAAAAGAAAGAAAGAGUGUGUCCAGGGUAGCGAUUGAUCCUCCAUCGCAGGUCACAGAAUGAAGAACAAAGACCCAUAACCUAGAGCAGGGCCAUUGCAGCUGACUCACAGAUAUGGAGCAAGAAAAACAAAUAUUUGCUUUUGUGAACCAAUGAAAUUUGGGGUAAUUCGUUAAGCUACAUAAUAACAGAGAAGAUGAAUAAUACUGUGAAAUAAAAUUUGUGGGAAGCCACUGAUUUGCAUUCCUGCACUAAGUCUAACAGACCAAAUCAAUAUGGUCUUCUGUUUCCUGAGACUUGGUACCCUAGACACAAAGAGGAAAGAUAAAGUGAAAGGGAUCCCCAUUUCAGAGGAUGAAACGUGUGCGUCA
rnacentral:lncRNA from 1 species